rnacentral:lncRNA from 1 species
CGCAUUAUGUUACAACUCAAACUUCAAUUAUCCCACAUCCAAUCUAAAACUCAAACUUAGUAUGCCUUAACCUUACAAUUAAAAACGAUUUUCUCUUACUCACACUUAGGGUUUCAAUUUCAACCUUCUUAAAUCUCUCAUAGUAGUAUCGCACAUUCUUCUCAUCUUCUUUACCAUGUAUGUUUCGCCUUUUCUACUAUAAUAUUUCCUCUCUUA